UCUAGGGUUAAAUGUUCGAUCUUUUCCCACUUCCCCAGCCGCAUUUCUUCCUCACUCCUCUUCUGUUUCUCUCUCCUCAAACCACUCUCUCUUUCUGCAUCUUUCUUCUUCCUCACUCAUCUACUCUUUCUCUCUCCUCAAAUCACUCACUUUCUCUACUCAAACUAGAAAAUUGUCAAUAGCUAAAACUCACGAGCGAUUUGCUCAAGAAGAUUAGGGAGAUCGAGGCCGAUGAGACGUUGUCUGAGCCUGAAAAGGCGAAGAAGCGUCAGAACCUUCUGGGUGCGGUUAGAUCCGGAGCAAGCAUCGAUUGCCCACAACCACCGUCGCCGGCGUCGUCAAUUUGAACCAAAUAUAAAACAACAACAACAAACUUGAAUCAAUUACUGAUUCAAAAAUAAAAAAUUUGAUGAUAGGGUUUCUGGGUUCUUUAGCUUUGCGUUUCGGUCCAAUUAUUUAGGUUAAAUGCCUUGAUUUUUUUGGGUUUAAUAUAUGUAAUAUUGUUCGAAAAAUUACUCCAUUUUUACUCACGAUCCACUCUUCAAAUCCUAUUAUUUUAGGGUUAGGGUUUUCUAAAUGGACCCAGUUGCUUCGGUUGUCAAUAAUUUAAAAUCGUUUGCAAAAUGCGGCCAAGAUCUUAUCACCGGCGUCACUCGCCGCCGGCAGAAUUAGUCCCGUUAAAAUCCGGUACAAAGACGUCUUGCACAAAACUGUGAGGCUGCUCGCAAAAUUCGUAUGUGGAAAAAGGUCAAUAUUGAUGCAAAUGGAGCAAGAGCUUGAACGAGUGAGAUAACAGGGUACGCUUGUGAGCAAUGGUAUUGACCCGCUUCCUUUCUCUACCACUGUAAAUUCAGGGAUUGUUGCAUUUGAGAUGGAGUAUGGAUAUUCGGUGAGGAGCAGAAUAAACAGAUUUGCGAACUCAGAAAUGCAUUGAAUACCCAUAUAACCGAUGUUGAACUUGGGAUUCUGGUAGAUAGUGGCAUGAAGCACUAUUAUGAUCUUUUUCAAUUGAAGGCAGAUAAUGCUGGAGUAAUUGUCAACCCCAAGGGUGAAAUGAAAGGAUCUGCUAUUACUGGUCCCAUUGCAAAGGAGUGUGCUGAUUUGUGGCCAAGGAUUGCUAGUGCUUCCAAUGCCAUUGUCUAAGAGAUGUUGUUCAGAGUUUCCAAUUUUGUUUUGCUAUAAUUCUAAAUGUUUAUAGUUGGAUAAAUGAACAAUGCCGGUUUGGUAGGAUGUGUUAAGUCAAUCUGUGAGUUUGCAAGAUAUUAGUUGAUUGUAUAUAAUUUAUACUAUAUUUGUAUAAAAUAUAAAUCUCUCAUUAUUAAUUGAUAAAAUAGUGUGCAAAGCAAUCCAUCA